rnacentral:rRNA from 1 species
UACGGGGGGGGCAAGCGUUGUUCGGAAUUACUGGGCGUAAAGGGCUCGUAGGCGGCCAACUAAGUCAGACGUGAAAUCCCUCGGCUUAACCGGGGAACUGCGUCUGAUACUGGAUGGCUUGAGUUUGGGAGAGGGAUGCGGAAUUCCAGGUGUAGCGGUGAAAUGCGUAGAGAUCGGGAGGAACACCAGAGGCGAAAGCGGCAUCCUGGGCCGGGCCUGACGCUGAGGCGUGAAAGCGUGGGGAGCGAACCGG